rnacentral:rRNA from 1 species
AUUGAACGCUGGCGGCAUGCUUUACACAUGCAAGUCGAACGGUAACAGGGAGCUUGCUCCGCUGACGAGUGGCGAACGGGUGAGUAAUGCGUCGGAACGUGCCGAGUAGUGGGGGAUAACGCAUCGAAAGGUAUGCUAAUACCGCAUACGAACUGAGGUUGAAAGUGGGGGACCUUCGGGCCUCACGCUAUUCGAGCGGCCGACGUCUGAUUAGCUAGUUGGUGAGGUAAAGGCUCACCAAGGCGACGAUCAGUAGCGGGCCUGAGAGGAUGAUCCGCCACACUGGGACUGAGACACGGCCCAGACUCCUUCGGGAGGCAGCAGUGGGGAAUCUUGGACAAUGGGCGCAAGCCUGAUCCAGCCAUGCCGCGUGUCUGAAGAAGGCCUUCGGGUUGUAAAGGACUUUUGUCCGGGAGCAAAUGCCUGGUGUUAAUAGCACUGGGAGCUGAGAGUACCGGAAGAAUAAGCACCGGCUAACUACGUGCCAGCAGCCGCGGUAAGAC